GUGGGGAAUAUUGGACAAUGGGCGCAAGCCUGAUCCAGCCAUACCGCGUGGGUGAAGAAGGCCUUCGGGUUGUAAAGCCCUUUUGUUGGGAAAGAAAUCCUAUCGAUUAAUACUCGGUGGGGAUGACGGUACCCAAAGAAUAAGCACCGGCUAACUUCGUGCCAGCAGCCGCGGUAAUACGAAGGGUGCAAGCGUUACUCGGAAUUACUGGGCGUAAAGCGUGCGUAGGUGGUUGUUUAAGUCUGCUGUGAAAGCCCUGGGCUCAACCUGGGAAUUGCAGUGGAUACUGGGCAACUAGAGUGUGGUAGAGGGAUGCGGAAUUUCUGGUGUAGCAGUGAAAUGCGUAGAGAUCAGAAGGAACAUCCGUGGCGAAGGCGGCAUCCUGGGCCAACACUGACACUGAGGCACGAAAGCGUGGGGAGCAAACAGGAUUAGAAACCCGUGUAGUCC
rnacentral:rRNA from 1 species